rnacentral:lncRNA from 1 species
AUGUGUGUGUGUGUGUGUGUGUGUGUGUGUGUGUGUGUGUGUGUGUGUGUGUGUGUGUGUGUGUGUGUGUGUGUGUUCUGUUGCAGCUUACAGCUCAUUCAAGUGCCACCAGUGUGCUUUUGGAGUACUUCAUCUUUCGAUUUCAUCUUUACCGAACAUCUGAGUAAAUUAAGGAUGUUCCACUUAAUCGAGUUCCUGAUCAACAAAACGGUAGCAGUGGUGCCACAAACGUGGUGCAGAGAUGGAGUUGUCUAUUGGCCAAACUAUAGAAAUGAUGAAAGAGUAAACAGGGCAGUGAAAAAUUCGGAGGAGCCUGGACCUGAUUAAAACAUGUGGUAUGCUUAUCUAUUUAUUGUUUUAGGAAUACAAAAUGACUAUUAGUAAGACAAAUAUACAAAAUUAUUUCGCCCUUAUAGUAAUAGAAAAAAAAAACCAUUUAAUUAGGGAUGCACCGAUCAUGAUUUUUCAUGGCCGAUUCCGAUACCGAUUUUUUACAAGCAAACUGGCCGAUUCCGUAUUUUUUUUCUUUAAGCAACAAACAAGAAAGAAGGAAAGUAUACAUAAACAAGAUGUUUAUUUGGUAUUUAAUAGGCCAAACUGGCUUUUGGCUAUUGAAAACAAUAACCUUAACCAUCUGAAAUUAACGGCAGUAACUGCACAGUAAGUAGCCUAUUCAAUACAAACAUAGAUGGUACAGACAUCAGCAUUUAGCUUUUGUUUUUGAAUUGGGUUGAAACUACAUAGAACUGGCCUUAAAUGAAAAGAUGUAACCAUGUGAAAUUAAAGGCAACAACUGCAUAGUUCUACAAUCCACGCAUUUUUCAUAACGUUUUUCAGCGCGUCUUUGUGUUCAUACCCAAGCAAUUUUCACUGGCGAUGUGCCAAGUGAACAUGCAAAUUCACUCCCUGACAGUAGAGGGGCUUUUUGAAAAAUAGAAAUACCCUGGUACACAAGGUGGCAAUGCGCAUCUUUACACUUUACAGCCUGCACUAUAUACCUGCACUCCUUGUGUUCACUCACUGUCUGGUCUCAACCUUACAAUGUUGUUUCACCUGACCCACUUACCUGUUGUUCCUGUGAUACGUCCUAGUUCUCCCCAGCUGAUGUUCUCCACUGUCUACACGCUCCUCAGCUCCCUCCAGAUCCUCUGGGAAACACAAAGACACUAUCAGACUUAGAUAAGCCACGCAAGACUUUCCCGCUCCCCGCCCGCUUACCUGGACUCUCCUCUCGCCAGUGUUGUCUCAAUCGUUGUUUAAUAAACCUGCUGUUAUUUGUACCACUUACCUCCGUGUCCCUUGUCUGUCUGCUGACAAGGAGCUCCAGCGAUGAAAAAAUUAUUAUUCUGUUGAAUGAGGAAAGACGACAGAAAAGACGCAGAUAUUGGAUACAUCCCAUAGUUAAGAGGAGAACAUGGGGAAAUCUAUCGGCUGAUUCCUCUUCGUUGUCGUCUAUCAAUGUGUGCUCGGCAAGACCGUUUUGUGCUUGAGCGUCACCAAGUCGUGUUUUACUGUAACUUCAGCAGAAACUUACGCCUGCCGUUUUGCGCGUUGGUGUGCACACUCACAUUAGCGCCCUUUGUUUAGUCACGAGGCAUUAAACAUUGGCGUUGAAAAGUCGUUUUGUUUUUUGGUGCACAAUAAUUCUCGUUGCUUUUAUAAUAUUUAGGUAGAACCACUGAACUCACAUUAAAUGUUUUUAGUACCUUUAUGGAUCUUGAGAGAGGAAAUGUCAUUGCUUUGAAUGCAGGCCUCACUAUGCCAUCAGAUUUAAUCAAAAUAUCUUAAUUUGUGUUCCGAAGUUGAAUGAAGGCCUUAGGGGUGUAGAACAACAUGAGGGUGAGUAAUUAAUGACAGAAUUUUCAUUUUUGGGUGAACUAACCCUUUAAUAUAUAAGAAAUUGACAGGAUUUUUGUUACAUUUUAGAUUUCUUCCCUUGCAACUGUUGGGGGCCAUGACACAAAACGUGUCACAUGGAACAUCCUUCCCUGCAUGUUCCAUGAUGACGUUGGGAGGAGGAUCAACUGGAAGGGUGUGAAUGGGAAAAAAGCAUUCAACCAGAUGGAGUCCAAGAAGUUCCUCCUGUGUAAGUAAAUGUAAUAAAUAUUUCCAGUAUCUGCAUGACUCGUCAUAGACAUAAACAAAGAGAAGUAGCUCAGGCUAUAAUGUUCUUCCGCAAGAUGCAUGAAGUUCUGUUUAUUAACCGCUAGAGUAGGGUUGGGCGAUAUGGCAAAAAUGUAAUCUCAAUAAUUUUUUCCCAUAUCGAUCGAUAACGAUAUAUAUUUUGAUAUAUAAACUGUUAAUGCUGCCAGCUAUGACUGAAGCCACAAAAAUUUGAGGGUUUAUUAAUUAAAUUUUAAAGUAUAGUUUAUUAACAAAAACAGAUUACACAUUUGGCCUUAAAAAAAUAAGACAACUUACCAACUUAGUGUGUGACUUUUAAAUAUAAACAAGCCCGAAAUACACUGGGACUAUUUUGAAAUGUCUACACAAUUGCAGGCUGAUCCUUAAGAUUCUUACAACCAUCUAAAACAUUUUAUAUAAAGGCCAUAAAGUAGACAUUGUCAUAAUUCAUAAACUCCAGUUCAUUAGCAAUUGUUAACAUUAAUUGUAGAAUCACUUUGAAGCAGCCUGAAGCGGUUGUUGCGUGAGCAUGUAGAACGCACAACAGUGCCGCCUUGUGACAUUGCAACAUGCAACGCUCUUUGUGAAAUAUCCACCGCAUCUCUGCAGCGCAUGUGGGAAUGUCAGCGGGAGUAAACAGUUCUGACGCACACAUAACGAGCAGGUAUGAAACACGUAGGGCGAGGGGAGAUUUUCCACUAGUUAAUCAAUCAUGGAUGGUUUCAUUAUCUUGGCGGAUACAAAUGUCUGAGAGGAUAAAAGUAAUAAAAGCAUAAAUGUGUCUACAAAUAUACUUGGGCGGCCGUUAAUAUACCUGGGUGACCCACCCAAGUAAAGUCUAUGGGUGCGUCUCAAUCAGCUCCCAAGUUCAGUAGUCAGGGCACUGAUCAGGGAGUCGGCCACAUUCAUUUACAUGAUAUACUGAUUCACGACUUAGGAAGCUAGGGAGCAGACUGAGACGCAGGGUAUGUGUGGGAAGCACUGUGAUGGAAUAGGUUGAUUGUGUUGCCAGGUCUUGUUUUUUACCAUCCGACGACAUAUUUUACAGAUCGUUUUAAUCUGCGCCUGGUCGCUUUUCAAAUAACCAAACCACUUCCAUAUAACUGAAUUCGUGCUACCUUUUUGUCGACAAUUUCAUAAUUUUUGAAUAAUAAAUCGAGGUUAGUUUCACUUUCGUGGCUGCUUCCACUCAUUUUUGUCGUCCUUGUCGAGUUUUCUUUGCAAAGUGCUAUAGGAAAUUGACUUUGUUCUUUGACGUGAAUGUUUGAAGCUGCAUGCUGAUUGGCUGUUGUCGCAUAUUUCUGCUGUAUGAUUGGCUUUUAUAUUAAUCCAUAUCGAGUAAAAAUGCCUAGGGCUUCUCAUCAUUAUCAACACAUUUUAAAUGAAAAUCUGCUUGUGUAUUACAGGUGCUGUGAGAAAGAGCCAUGUAUCACGUGCCGCCACUGAUGAUGAAAUUACAAAACACACAAAACGGUGGUUCAGCCUGGCAGCUGAUAGGGGAAGCUCAAGGAACCGUCCCACUGUGAGCACCCAGCAGUAGAGUUUUUCAGAGUUUCAUUGGUAACUUCAGUGUUUUGAAGUGUUCAUUUAAAAUAGCAACAGUUACAAUAAAAUAAAGGUACAAGGUUACUAUUUUAGAUAAAUGUUUUUUAUUGUUUUGUUUCCAUUCAAAGAAUCUAUUUGUUUCUAUUUUUCUAUUCAAAGAAUAUUUAAAAAAAUCCAGUUUAUACAAAAAUAAAAUAAAAAAUUAAGCAGUACAACUGUUUACAAAAAAAUGUUGCUCAAAUAUUUACUCUUCUUAAUGUUGUAAAGUCUUAUUUUUCAUUAAAUAAAAAAUGUUUUUGGUACAAUUUAUGGUCGCAUUUCAUUUUCUGUAAUAAUUCUAUUCAAUACCUAUUAAUGUACAUAAAUAAUUAAACUAUAAAAGUAAUAAUAGUAAUUACAGAUUGUAAAUACAUUUACAGACUAUUUUUAUAGUUUUAUUGUAACUGGCUAAAGGUCUGAAAGAUUUCAUCAUGUUUUAUUAAUAUUAAUAAAGGCAAACAUUAAAUAUUCAUGCUUUUAUAGAGCAAUCCAGUCUAUCUGAUGUUGAUCCAUUUAGAUUUUAAAUAUUUCUGUGUAGCGAGUUGUGGCCAGAAUACUAGUUCGAGAGUGAUCUGAAAGGUAUCCAGACCAAAUGACCCACUUAAUAAACGGGUCCAGAUCGGAUCUGCGGCGGAUCAGGUGCUUAAUAAAUACCUCUGGGGCGGAUCCGUUGCGGAGUCAGUUUGCUAUCUGGGUUAUAUUUGAAAAGAGAAGUAACUUGUGUUUUGUGCUUAAAAGUUAAUGUCUUAAACUGCCAAUAUUGUAACUGUGCUAAUUAAUAGUGUUUUCACUUUACUUUUGAAAAUUUAUAUACAUUGUAGAGCUGAAGUUACACGACUCGUUCAAUGAAUCGUGGGUCGACUCAGUGAUCAGCUGUAAAACAGUGAUUCUGUCCAAAUUCCCUUUAAAAUCUUAAAUGAUUCCCUUUGAGCUAAAUUGACCUGUUUCCCUUACAUUGUCUUCAUUUUUAAGUAAUUUUACUGUAUAGUUUUGGAGAAAACUAAAAGCAAAUUCACCCAAAACAUCAAACUCCAUUAUUGCACUUGGAUUGUUUCCACAUAUUCCAACUACUCAUUAAAAAGUGUCCUUUUAUAGGUUAGCUAAUUCUAUCAAUUCAUAUGUAUUCAGAGUGACUCUGAAUAUCACUCUAUUCAUUUUCAAGGCAUUUUACUGUAUAGUUUUGGAGAAAACUAAAAGCAAAAUCAUGCAUAACAACAAAAUCCGUCCUACCACUUGCACUGUGUCCCAUUUUCCAACCCUUUUUCAAAUAUUUUUACUGUAUAAUUUUGGAGAAAAUUAAUAAGUGUAUAAACACUUUUACAUCAUGUCCCAUUUUCAAACCUUCAUAAAAAUCUUUCUUUUACAGAUCUGUUCGUUCUUUUUAUUGAUUCCUGUUUACAGUUGCCCUGACUAUUACUGUAUUCAUAUUCAUUAAAAAGAAAAAUAACUCUAUGGUUUUGAAGAAAAUCAAUGACAAAUUCACUCAUUAUAUUUAAUUCAUAUCAUUGUUUGCUCAUUAUUUCAAUUGAUUCCUGUUCACAGUGUCCCUGACCAUUGCUAUUUUAAUUUUCAAGUCUUUUUACUGUAUGGUUUUGGAGAAAAUUAAAGGCAAAUUCAC